rnacentral:lncRNA from 1 species
UUUAUGCUCUUGCAUCAUCUCUAGAUAAAUACUUUUCUGUCUCAUACUAAACUUUAUUAUUUAUAUCAACCAAUUUUAUUUUUCUUCUAGUGCCUAUGUUGAAAAAUACCUACUGGAGAAGUCCAGACUCGUUUACCAAGAGCAUAAUGAACGGAGUUCCACCAACAGAACUGAAGGAAAACCUAGAGGAAGAAAUCCCUACAGAAAUAUUUCAAGAAGAAGCCAGAGUGGAGGAUGCGUGUUUGCACAGUGAAAGCCUUGAGCGUUCAGACAAGACAGAAUGACUGCUCAGAACCUGAGGGCGGCGAUGUUUCCAGAAAGGAGGAGAAAGUUUUCACAGACAUUGUCAGGACCCAGAAUUGCAUUAGCAUCUUGAUGGUGGCAUGAGAAGCUGGAACAUAGGGACCAGUCCCUUAAACCUUCCGAGAGCAUUGCAGCUGACCUGACAGGAUGAGUGAAGCCCAGCUUUGCGACUCAGGGGGGCUGGACACCCACACCCAAGGGUCCUCUCCCUGUGCUGCAGAUUGGGAACCAAGGCUGCAGGCCGGCCCUGAAGUGUCCACUGCACACAAGGGGAGUCUGGGACCCCUCACACAGCCCUGAGCUCUGCGGGCUCCUCCACCGGGGGCCCAUGCUCUGGCCGCAAGGGGAGUCCAGGAUUUCAACCUGGGAACAGCCUCACCACCUGUAGGUUACAUGAAGGGCAUCCUAGGUGACCGACGGUGAGAAACCACGUUGGGGAAAGUGGUGCUGAUGGAUCCGGGUGCUCAUUGCACUGUUAAGCAGAGUGCAGGUGAAGCACAGCUUGUAAAACAGGGCAGUCCAUUUCUGUCAUGAUGUGCAGGUAGGGGCACGCUUCUAAAGUCUGCAAGGAUCUACACCCAAAAAGUGUAUUUUGGGAUUUAGGGUGACUUUGUUUGAAAAAGCAACAAUUUUCCCACCCACUCGUUCUGUGCUCAGAUACCCACAAGAGCCACAUCUGGGCCAAGCUGGAGCCAGGAGCUGGGAACUCAAGCCAGGCCUCCCCUGUGGGUGACAGGGGACCCGAGGACCUGAGCCGUCCCUGCUGCCUCCCAGGGACUGCAUGAGCAGGAGGCAGUCCCACUUAAAGUGCAGGCAUCCUGGGUGGGGUCUUAACCACUGUGCCAAAUGCCCACCCUGGAUUAAGGGUGGUUCUUAGAGUGUACUUCUCAGCAUUUUCCAUAUACUGCCAAAAAGCAAAUGUGCACAGGGCUUUUUGGAUUUUUUUUUAAGCAGAGAAGUGUUCAGAUACCCCUCAACAAG